UACGUAGGUGGCAAGCGUUGUCCGGAUUUACUGGGCGUAAAGAGCGCGCAGGCGGUCGUUCAAGUCGCGUGUGAAAGCCCCCGGCUCAACUGGGGAGGGUCACGCGAUACUGAUCGACUGGAAGGCAGGAGAGGGUAGUGGAAUUCCCGGUGUAGUGGUGAAAUGCGUAGAUAUCUGGAGGAAUACCGGUGGCGAAGGCGGCAUCCUGGACCGACAUUGACGCUGAGGAGCGAAAGCUAGGGGAGCAAACGGG
rnacentral:rRNA from 1 species